rnacentral:rRNA from 1 species
CCCGCCCAUGCCUUAGUACGGCGAGUGAAGCGGCAAAAGCUCAAAUUUGAAAUCUGGUACCUUCGGUGCCCGAGUUGUAAUUUGGAGAGGGCAACUUUGGGGCCGUUCCUUGUCUAUGUUCCUUGGAACAGGACGUCAUAGAGGGUGAGAAUCCCGUGUGGCGAGGAGUGCGGUUCUUUGUAAAGUGCCUUCGAAGAGUCGAGUUGUUUGGGAAUGCAGCUCUAAGUGGGUGGUAAAUUCCAUCUAAAGCUAAAUAUUGGCGAGAGACCGAUAGCGAACAAGUACAGUGAUGGAAAGAUGAAAAGAACUUUGAAAAGAGAGUGAAAAAGUACGUGAAAUUGUUGAAAGGGAAGGGCAUUUGAUCAGACAUGGUGUUUUGUGCCCUCUGCUCCUUGUGGGUAGGGGAAUCUCGCAUUUCACUGGGCCAGCAUCAGUUUUGGUGGCAGGAUAAAUCCAUAGGAAUGUAGCUUGCCUCGGUAAGUAUUAUAGCCUGUGGGAAUACUGCCAGCUGGGACUGAGGACUGCGACGUAAGUCAAGGAUGCUGGCAUAAUGGUUAUAUGCCGCCCGUCUGA